rnacentral:tRNA from 3 species
GUCAGGAUAGCUCAGUUGGUAGAGCAGAGGACUGAAAAUCCUCG